rnacentral:lncRNA from 1 species
UAGAUAGAUAGACAGAUAGAUAGAGGAAGAGAAAGAGAAAUAGAAAAGGAAUUAGAGGGAGAUAGACAAUCGAAAAUCGGGAAAGCCGUGCACGAAAACUAGGUCGGAAGGUAAACUCGCGAGAAUGCAGUCUUUCCCGCACACCGUUUCGCAGUCUACUGCACUCUACUGCACGACUAUGCUCGACACACGAUUAGGAUAGCACUCUGUUACUAUACACAUCAUACUUUACUACUAAGGUACUACUAUACAUCACCACCACCACUACUACCACCACCACUACUACCACUAACACUGUUAUUAGUCUGACUUUUUCUUCCAAUGUUUUCUUCCUAUUAGUAUUUUUCUACUACUCUGCUGCUGCUGCUGCUGCUCCUGCUGUUGCUGAUGUUAAUAUGACUACCUAUGCUGUUACGUUUGCUGGUGCUACUACUACUGCUGCCGCUACGGCAGCAAAUAGUCGACUGAUUUAUCCUUCUUUGCCUUUCGCGAUACGCAAACAAACCUACUGCUUCUUUGUGUUUCACGGAAAAAGAGACAAGAACGGUGACAUUAAGUAGGGAGAAUGAUUCAAGAAACUUUCGGAAAAGGAAAAAAGAUAUGGGUUUUAAAGAUUUAAUGUUGAAAUUGCAAAUAAUCGAUAAACAAAAUUCCUAAUUUACCGACUGACCGAUCACUCGUUUGGUAUCUCUUUUUUACGAAAGGUGUCGCUAGUAGCGGUUUUAACUCGUGUCGGUAAAGUAGAUUUCCUAUUAAUGAAACAAGUUUUCAGACUUAAUACUGACAGUAAGUAUUGAUAGUAGAAUAUGUUUUGCAUAUUUUCUUUAUUGCGGUCGCGUCGGUGUUAGAUUUUCUCAUUUUAUUUUAUUUUUUAUUCGUAUUUAUUUUACUUCGUAAAAUAUAUAACUCAUGUUUGAGUUAUUAAUAUCGCGAAUCAAUGCCGUGCAAUAGAAAUAUCAAUGAAUAGUAUAGUAAGUAAUUUCUGAAUAUUGGGAGACUUUUACAAUCAGAUAUACUUUGUUUUUCCUCGUACACUUGCCUUCGUUCGAACGAACGACGACAAAAUUAAACUAUCGAGAUACAAAUCUAUUUUUAAUAUCGUACAUUAGCGUAAAUUAGUUUUUAUUUUUCGAAUAAAAAAUAAAUUAGAAUAAAUCAUUUGUAAUGAAUUUAUUUAACCAUAGUUUGUUAAUCCGAUACGAGUAGUAAAUGAAAUUGAAAAAUGAAUUUCUUUUGAGUGUAUCUGAUUGACAGCGAAUAAUCUUCGACGUGUGGUUGUUGGAAAGAACUCUUGGAACUCUCGGAACUCUGCAUGAACAGAGUGUUAUCGAGUAUUUUGCGCGGGAAACAUUGUAAAGAAAGAAAGAAAGAGAAAGAGAAAGAAAGAAAGAAAGGAAGAAAGAAAGAAAAA